CGAGCAAGGCAUGGAGCGACCAGUCUGGAGCGACACCACCAAGUCGCUCUGACCUCCCUAUUGGAGCGACCUUACCAGAGCGACAGGGAGAAGUCGCUCGCGGUUUCAUCACUCGGAGACGCGAGAACGAGCCCGGAGCGACCUCCCGGAGCGACACCACGAAGUCGCUCGCAUCUCACACCCCUCUCGGAGCGACCUCCCAAAGCGACACCCCGAGGUCGCUCGCGUCUCUAUGGCGAGACGACACGAAGCGAAGCCUGGAGCGACCUCUCAGAGCGACCCACUGAGGUCGCUCCCGAAGGCCGGAGCGACUUGUCGGAGCGACAUGCCGAAGUCGCUCCGCGCCUAUUAUCUGCUCGAUUUAUAUUUUACUUAAGGGCCUUUUGGUCAUUUCAUUAUGCACGUUUUACAUUUCUAAAACCUAUGUUUUAAACAUCUUUUGUAGCCACCAGAGGCAUAUUAUCUUUUAUCUUUUGAUCUAUUGAAAAAUACACAAGAACUCUCUUGAGAAGUUCAUCUCUUGGAUUUUGAUUUGUUAUGUUCUUGUGUUCUUGUUGAUUUCUUAUCUAUUUCUCUACAUGGUUAAUCUGAAAUCCAAUAUGGGUUUAAGAGGAAUCAUGGAGAUUAGUGAGUAAUCACCUUUUGAAUUCAUGGGUUAGGGAGAUUGAUAUCUUGCAUAUUUGCAUUGUUUUAUCCAUUCAUCCGUUAGCAUUUUCAUCAUAUAGAUUAGGAUUUAGCCAUGUCUAGGUUGCAUUUUGCAUUCAUUGUCCUCAUUAGGUGUUGGAGUGCCACAUGGAGUUCUUGGGGACAUUUGGAUGCAUUUGGAGCUUAAAGGACGUGAAACAGGUGAUCAUUGGACGAGCAAGGCAUGGAGCGACCAGUCCGGAGCGACACCACCAAAUCGCUCUGACCUCCCUAUUGGAGCGACCUUACCAGAGCGACAGGGAGAAGUCGCUCGCGGUUUCAUCACUCGGAGACGCGAGAACGAGCCCGGAGCGACCUCCCGGAGCGACACCACGAAGUCGCUCGCAUCUCACACCCCUCUCGGAGCGACCUCCCAAAGCGACACCCCGAGGUCGCUCGCGUCUCUAUGGCGAGACGACACGAAGCGAAGCCUGGAGCGACCUCUCAGAGCGACCCACUGAGGUCGCUCCCGAAGGCCGGAGCGACUUGUCGGAGCGACAUGCCGAGGUCGCUCCGCGCCUAUUAUCUGCUCGAUUUCUAUUUUACUUAAGGGCCUUUUGGUCAUUUCAUUAUGCACGUUUUACAUUUCUAAAACCUAUGUUUUAAACAUCUUUUGUAGCCACCAGAGGCAGAUUAUCUUUUAUCUUUU
rnacentral:lncRNA from 1 species